rnacentral:rRNA from 1 species
UUAAGCCAUGCAAGUCGAACGAGUUUAGGCUCGUGGCGUACGGCUCAGUAACACGUGGAUAACCUACCCUUAGGAUCGGGAUAACCUUGGGAAACUGAGGAUAAUACUGGAUAGGCAAUUAUUCCUGCAAUGGUUUUUUGUUUAAAUGUUUUUUCGCCUAAGGAUGGGUCUGCGGCCGAUUAGGUAGUUGGUUAGGUAAUGGCCUACCAAGCCGUUGAUCGGUACGGGUUGUGAGAGCAAGAGCCCGGAGAUGGAACCUGAGACAAGGUUCCAGGCCCUACGGGGUGCAGCAGGCGCGAAACCUCCGCAAUGUGAGAAAUCGCGACGGGGGGAUUCCAAGUGCCAUUCUUAACGGGAUGGCUUUUCAUUAGUGUAAAGAGCUUUUGGAAUAAGGGCUGGGCAAGACCGGUGCCAGCCGCCGCGGUAA